UCACUGCAACAAACCUUAGAAAAAGGAAGGUAUUUUAAAGAUUUAAAAUUGUAAAAGGUUGUAGCUUCUUCCUGGAGUUGUUGAUUCCCACAUUCCCCUGAGAACCAAUUUGCUACUUAUGUACUUACAAAUUUGAAUUUGUGGCUAACCCGCCGCAACAACAGUGAUCAUCAUGCCGCAUUCCAAAGGCAUUCCGCUGGGAAUCGUUUCGGCUAAGGGGAAAAACCGCAAAUUGAAUUAGGCCCGAGUUGGGCAUUAAGAAAAUAAUUUGCAAGAAAUUACAUAAAGGAAAACAAGUGCCAGCACAAGAGCGCAGACAGACAGAUGCAGACACGCAGAUAUAUCGCCCACACACCUACUAUACCCAACUACUAUAUAGCCGUACGAUCCGCGGUUUGCCAAUUUAGGUGAAAUAAAACGCCCACAUGGCAACGCAGCAA